rnacentral:rRNA from 1 species
UACAGAGGUCCCGAGCGUUGUUCGGAUUCACUGGGCGUAAAGGGUGCGUAGGUGGUUGUGCAAGUCUGAUGUGAAAUCUCCGGGCUUAACCCGGAAAGGUCAGCCGAUACUGCGGGGCUAGAGUGCAGAAGGGGCAACUGGAAUUCUCGGUGUAGCGGUGAAAUGCGUAGAUAUCGGGAGGAACACCGGUGGCGAAGGCGGCCUUCUGGACAGUGACUGACGCUGAGACGCGAAAGCGUGGGGAGCAAACAGG